UACGGAGGGUGCAAGCGUUAUCCGGAUUCACUGGGUUUAAAGGGUGCGUAGGCGGCUUAAUAAGUCAUUGGUGAAAGCUCGCAGCUCAACUGCGAAACUGCCAUUGAAACUGUUUAGCUUGAAUGUGGUUGAAGUGGGCGGAAUACAACAUGUAGCGGUGAAAUGCUUAGAUAUGUUUUAGAACGCCGAUUGCGAAGGCAGCUCACUAAGCCAAUAUUGACGCUGAGGCACGAAAGCGUGGGUAGCAAACAGG
rnacentral:rRNA from 1 species